rnacentral:rRNA from 1 species
CCUACGGGAGGCAGCAGUGGGGAAUUUUGGACAAUGGGCGAAAGCCUGAUCCAGCAAUGCCGCGUGAGUGAAGAAGGCCUUCGGGUUGUAAAGCUCUUUUGUCAGGGAAGAAACGGUGAGAGCUAAUAUCUCUUGCUAAUGACGGUACCUGAAGAAUAAGCACCGGCUAACUACGUGCCAGCAGCCGCGGUAAUACGUAGGGUGCAAGCGUUAAUCGGAAUUACUGGGCGUAAAGCGUGCGCAGGCGGUUUUGUAAGUCUGAUGUGAAAUCCCCGGGCUCAACCUGGGAAUUGCAUUGGAGACUGCAAGGCUAGAAUCUGGCAGAGGGGGGUAGAAUUCCACGUGUAGCAGUGAAAUGCGUAGAUAUGUGGAGGAACACCGGAUGGCGAAGGCAGCCCCCUGGGUCAAGAUUGACGCUCAUGCACGAAAGCGUGGGGAGCAAACAGGAUUAGAUACCCUGGUAGUCCACGCCCUAAACGAUGUCUACUAGUUGUCGGGUCUUAAUUGACUUGGUAACGCAGCUAACGCGUGAAGUAGACCGCCUGGGGAGUACGGUCGCAAGNUUAAAACUCAAAGGAUUGACGGCUGAGAGNGCGAGCGACGACGAGGGAGAGG